UACGUAGGGUGCAAGCGUUAAUCGGAAUUACUGGGCGUAGAGCGUGCGCAGGCGGUUUUGUAAGUCUGUCGUGAAAUCCCCGGGCUCAACCUGGGAAUUGCGAUGGAGACUGCAAGGCUAGAAUCUGGCAGAGGGGGGUAGAAUUCCACGUGUAGCAGUGAAAUGCGUAGAGAUGUGGAGGAACACCGAUGGCGAAGGCAGCCCCCUGGGUCAAGAUUGACGCUCAUGCACGAAAGCGUGGGGAGCAAACAGG
rnacentral:rRNA from 1 species